UACAGAGGUGGCAAGCGUUGUUCGGAAUUACUGGGCGUAAAGGGCGCGUAGGCGGUCUUGCAAGUCCUGUGUGAAAUCCCCCGGCUCAACUGGGGAACUGCACAGGAAACUAGCGGGCUUGAGUUCGGGAGAGGGAAGCGGAAUUCCGGGUGUAGCGGUGAAAUGCGUAGAUAUCCGGAGGAACACCGGUGGCGAAGGCGGCUUCCUGGACCGACACUGACGCUGAGGCGCGAAAGCUAGGGGAGCAAACGGG
rnacentral:rRNA from 1 species